rnacentral:rRNA from 1 species
AGUGAACGCUGGCGGUAGGCCUAACACAUGCAAGUCGAACGGCAGCACAGAGGAGCUUGCUCCUUGGGUGGCGAGUGGCGGACGGGUGAGGAAUACAUCGGAAUCUACUCUGUCGUGGGGGAUAACGUAGGGAAACUUACGCUAAUACCGCAUACGACCUACGGGUGAAAGCAGGGGAUCUUCGGACCUUGCGCGAUUGAAUGAGCCGAUGUCGGAUUAGCUAGUUGGCGGGGAAAAGGCCCAGCAAGGCGACGAUCCGUAGCUGGUCUGAGAGGGUGAUCAGCCACACUAGAACUGAGACACGGUCCAGACUCCUACGGGAGGCAGCAGUGGGGAAUAUUGGACAAUGGGCGAAAGCCUGAUCCAGCCAUACCGCGUGGGUGAAGAAGGCCUUCGGGUUGUAAAGCCCUUUUGUUGGGAAAGAAAUCCAUCUGGUUAAUACCCGGGUGGGAUGACGGUACCCAAAGAAUAAGCACCGGCUAACUUCGUGCCAGCCGCCGCCGUAA